UAAAUGCAUUGUGGUGACAUAUAU
rnacentral:siRNA from 1 species